rnacentral:misc_RNA from 1 species
UCCGGUUUUUCACCGGCAGUCCUCUUAGAGUGCUCAGCAUAACCUGGUGGCAACUAAGAGCAAGGGUUGCGCUCGUUGCGGGACUUAACCCAACAUCUCACGACACGAGCUGACGACAGCCAUGCAGCACCUCGACUAGUGUCCCUUGCGGGAAAAGGAUGUUUCCACCCCUGUCACUAGCCGUUCGAGCCCAGGUAAGGUUCUUCGCGUUGCGUCGAAUUAAACCACAUACUCCACCGCUUGUGCGGGCCCCCGUCAAUUCCUUUGAGUUUCAGUCUUGCGACCGUACUCCCCAGGCGGCGAACUUAACGCGUUAGCUUCGAUACUGCGUGCCAAAUUGCACCCAACAUCCAGUUCGCAUCGUUUAGGGCGUGGACUAC